AGCGAACGCUGGCGGCAGGCCUAACACAUGCAAGUCGAACGAACCUUUCGGGGUUAGUGGCGGACGGGUGAGUAACACGUGGGAACGUGCCUUUAGGUUCUGAAUAACUCAUGGCAACUUGUGCUAAUACCGAAUGUGCCCUUCGGGGGAAAGAUUUAUCGCCUUUAGAGCGGCCCGCGUCUGAUAAGCUAGUUGGUUGAGGUAAUGGCUCACCAAGGCGACGAUCAGUAGCUGGUCUGAGAGGAUGAUCAGCCACAUUGGGACUGAGACACGGCCCAAACUCCUACGGGAGGCAGCAAGGGGGGAUCUUGCGCAAUGGGCGGAAGCCUGACGGAGCCAUGCCGCGUGAAUGAUGAAGGUCUUAGGAUUGUAAAAUUCUUUUACCGGGGACGAUAAUGACGGUACCCGGAGAAGAAGCCCCGGCUAACUUCGUG
rnacentral:rRNA from 1 species